UACGGGGGGAGCAAGCGUUGUUCGGAUUUACUGGGCGUAAAGGGCGCGUAGGCGGCCAGCACAAGUCAGUUGUGAAAUCUCCGAGCUUAACUCGGAAAGGUCAACUGAUACUGUGCGGCUAGAGUGCGGAAGGGGCAACUGGAAUUCCUGGUGGAGCGGUGAAAUGCGCAGAUAUCAGGAGGAACACCCGUAGCGAAGGCGGCACUCUGGGCCGAUACUGACACUGAGGAGCGAAAGCGUGGGGAGCGAACAGG
rnacentral:rRNA from 1 species